AGAAUUUCAGUUGUUCACUAUCAAACAUGAACGUGUCAAUGGCGAUGGUUUGUGAUGGAUAUUACGACUGUGAUCAUUACGAGGAUGAAUCAAAUUGCAAUAAUCCAGCUAUUUAUCUAAAGGAAGGGGAAUUGCACUCAAUCUCCAUACCACGCAACUACACAAGACGAUUUUACCACCUAACCGUGCUACAAACAAAUGAUACGAAUGGAUUUCGAAUCGUGUUCCAAGAUUUAUCUCUCAGUUCUACUAAUCAAGUCCAAAUAGGGACAGGUACUGAUCCAGCUGAUCCACAGUCCGUCACCAAAACUAUCUCUGGAUCUACAUCUUGCUGUCCUUGGGAUGUCUACAUAGAGACCAAUAAGAUGUGGAUUGCUGUCGUAGGCGGACUGACUUACACCAAUCUUAAGAUUAAUGCGGACAUCAUUGCUUUCAACCUUUCAACUCUGUUUAAUUGUCCAAUGAGCAAUAUAAACGUGUCAUCGGAUGUUCUCUGUGAUGGAGUGUACCAUUGUGAUCAUUAUGAAGACGAAUCAACAUGCA